rnacentral:tRNA from 1 species
GAGGUUGUGGCUCAGUGGCAGAGCACUUGCCUAGCAUGUGUGAGACACUGGGUUUGAUCCUCAGCACCACA